rnacentral:lncRNA from 1 species
AUUAAUCAGUUGAUCAGGGAAAAUUCCAAAACAAUCAUUAAUGUCUAGAAUCACAGAAGACAUUUCCUCAUGACAAUAUAGUAUUGAGAAGGCAGAAUUGUCUUGUUAAGUUAUAAACUACAGAAGUGGGAAAGUAGCAUCAAUUACAAAUGUAUCCAUUUACUAGAUAAUCUAAAACUUUAUGAUUUUGUAGAGAAACAGCCCAUACUAUUAUUCUGUGUGUUGUUUAUAUGGUUUUGUUUUAAAACAGAAAUGUUUACUGACAGGAUGCUAAAAUUUCUGCUUUUGAAAAUUACCUGCUCUCUCAGGUGGGAAUUCUGGAAAUACUAAGAAGAAAAUUACCUGAAUUUGCCUUGGACAAAUUUUUAUUUGACUCUAAAGCCAUAUACACCAAUAAAUCAACUGACUGGGGGUUCCAAAGGAGGAGUCAAAGCGGCUGUAAUCUUGAUUCGGUUUUAUGGGCAAUAGAAUUAUUUUACUGAUUCCUGGAAUCAUGGCUCCUAUACAUCUGCACUCUAUGAGCACUUUGGAAAUUAAAGGAUUGCCAGCUUUUCCACUUUGGGACAAAAAACAUUUGUGCUAAACAGCCGGAAAAAGCAAAUGCCAGUGUUAAUCAAACCAGCAUGGAAGUUAAUUAGAACCUCAAGAACAAGCGGAUGGGCUUAGCACCUUGGACACAUCAAUAUCUUGUUUCUAAAGAUGACCUCAAAAGAUUGCAUAACAAUAAAGCCCAGCACAAGUCAGAAAGUCAAUCUACUGAGGUCCUACAAUUCUCUUCAUUGACCUGAACAAACUCGACUCUGCUUUUCCCUUAAAUUUCUGUACAGAACCCUGACAACUCGUCUAUACUUUCUGUUAUUGAUUUCCCCCAUGCGCCUAAGUUUCUUAUGACUUCUGGAUUCUCCUUUUGGCUUUGCAGAACACCCCUACUUCCAAACUCUAGAGUAAAAUUCCUGUGAAGACUGAUACCUCAGAAGUGACUGCUUCACAGAUAGACAUCUAAUUUUUUAAUUGAGAUUUCAACUAUUUAACACUUACCGUGUUAACUCAUGACACUCUCCUCCAUUUGCUCAUAAACAACAAAACAAUAACAAAAAUGAAUGCUCACUGAGUGCUACAGAAUGCAAACUAUUAAAGAUACAGAAAUAAUGAAUAGGACUUCUGACCUUGAGUGGUUGGUAAAUAAAACAGAAAUAUAAAAAAUGAAAUAAAUAAUUAGGGUUACUGCCACUAGAGAAACAGAUCACAGGCUACAGAUUACUACUGGCCCUAUGAAGCAGGAAGACAGCACAGGUAUAGCAAGGGACCUUUUAUAUGUAGGUAGAACCUUAUUGUAGGUAAUGGUGAAAGCCAGUGAGCCCUUGCUCUGGGCUGCUCUGGUGAAUUGGCACUCCCUUCACUGUUUCGCUGACUAGACCUCAAGUACCCUCCAUGAGAGACUAGGGAGGCCUUGUGGAGCUGUGUCCU